rnacentral:lncRNA from 1 species
AACAACUCAACAGUCUACUCAAUGUAGAAAUAAAACUCAUCACAUAGACUCAUUAGCAAUAGUAUAAACUAACCAAUCUGAGACAAGCUGCCACCAAUAUGUUAGGUGAGGAAGGGAUGGCACAUAACACUCCACAGACUCAUAUAGGCUUCAUCUUAAUUUGUAUCUUUGUUUUAUUUAUUUAUUUUGUUAUGAAAAGAGAUAUAUACUCUUAUGAGUUGAUUCAAAUGGAAGCUGAGGACACAAAACAAGAUGUAAAAUAAACUAAAUAAGAAAAUUGUGAAUGUUUUCUUUUUCUUUUUCUUUUUCCAAUAGAGCUUUGAUACCUUGUACCAAGAUCUUGACACCCCAAGGAAUGGAGCAUGCACCUAUCGUUGUGGCUAUAGUGCCUUGCUAGAGGCCUAGAGCUAUAGGGCUUGGAUCUAAGUGGGCAUCAAACAGGAAAUGUCGCAAACUUUUGUUGACUACAACUUUAAAAAGAACAAAAGGUGGAUAAGCUAAGAAUGGUCACUCAACUAUGGUGUAUAUCAAAUCGAGAAACCAUGGUGUAUAUUAGAUGGCUCCUACUAACGAAAAUAAGAGAUAGUAAAACAGAUAAGUAAUGGAGUUUCUACACCACCGUGGAGGCUGCUCAAGUUAAUCCAAGACAUCAAGACUUUGAGCAACUCCUUUGAGUCUGUGUGUUUUAAAUAUGUGUUUAGAGAAGCAAACUUUGUAGCCAAUAUUUUAGUCAAUCUACGUCAUAGGCUUAGUAAUUUAUGUUUUUGGGAGGAGAAUAUUCCGUCAGAAACAUCUUUUGCUUUGGUUUUUGACGUUGUAAAUCUCGGGUGCACUAGAGGCACCUCAAUUUAAUUGAGUUCAGUUUCUUAUCAAAAAAAAAACAGAUAAGUAUGUAGUCGAUCCUCAUGGAAAUUAACCAACAAUUAGCCAUGCCAAAAAUGCUUAUACAAUGCAAAUUUUAAAACUCUUGUUAUGACUUAACAACGUGCAGAUAUAGGAUGAUCUUUGUCUGCGAGAGAUCUUCUGGUCGAUGGAGGCUAGGGUAAAUAUAACCAUAUCACCCGCAUUUGCGAGGUAAAGGUAAACUGAUAAACCGAGGCACCAGUUGACACCGGAGACAAGAGAGACACAACCAAGGACAUAAAGCCCAAAAUUUGUAGGGAGGGGGGGGGGUCCCUAAAUUAACAAGAACUGGCCGCAUGGCGGGUGAGACGUCCUUUGUAGUUUUCAGAGAAGAAGAAGAUGAGGAGGAGAGGAUCACUAGAGAGGGGGCGGGGUGGCCUCCAAAGUCCAAAGUCUGCCUGCCCUAGUUGUGCCGGCCUGCUCCGUCUAAUCAAAACUUCAGUGACAGACCUACACCACCUUUUCCUUUAAUCUCUCUCUCACUAUCUUCUCCUUCCUUGGCGUGAGCUUUUUACCUUCGGCUACGAUUUGGACCUGUGGUUUUGACCGAUAACAGAAAAGUUAAGCAUAGAGAAAGCAAAGCAGAGAAGCUUAGGGAAAGCUUUACGAAAGUAACAGCAACAGUAACAGUAACAGUAACAGUGCUGCGCGCUUUGACAAUGGUGGCUAUACUUAUCAUCACCGACGGCGAUCAUCUCUCUCAGGAAUCACAUCCUGUACUGUGUACAAGUACUGACGUGGCGGCAGGUGGUUCAGCGGGACGCUCUUCUUAAUCUGUAUGGUUGACUGUGGUUUACGCUACGUCCAAUUUGAUCGUGAUCAUUGUAACUCGUUUUUUCGUCGUGCCUUUUUCACAGUUAGGUUGAGCUUUUGGACAAAGGUUGGAAUUUUACCUAAUUUUUCCGGCCUAUGAAUCUAUGUGUUCGACACGUGGCGUAGUGGGUGUAUCUUUUAGGUAAAACUGGAAUUUUGAUUGGAGAUUGGAAGUACACACGAUUAGAAUGUGGCUUUCUUUGAUCUUUGAUUUGCAUGAAGGUGUGUUUCUCGAAAACGAAUUUGGAUAGAGAUGACGAGAAGAGAAAGCACGUAUAAGCUCCUGUCAUAUUAGACUAAUCGUACGAAAAGAAGAAGUUAGAUGAAGGAGAACGUAUGUAAGUAGUGCAUCUAUACUUAAUUUCCGUAUAUCGUAAUCACAUUGUUAAAUUAAGGAUGUUGGUACUAGAAAUGGAUAUUGUUCAAAUCGGCACUCAUCUUAUCUUUUAAUUUACAAUCUAUCCAAAAUUUUAACGUGAGGUAUAUAUGACCUCAAAUACACAUGCAUACACAUGCAUAUGGUGAAACUUGAAGCCGAUCGCACACACAGGUGAUUGAUAUGAGAUCACAUGCGUAUUGGGUGUUAUGUCAACUCACGAACAAUUUGGUAUGAUAACAUGAAAACUAAAAUUUCGAGCAUUAAGCUCGAAAUUAUUUAGUUAUAAGUAGAUAUUUUCAAUAAUGCAAGACAUUACUUAAUUUCGAUAUCUUCCUUCUAGUGUUCUUAUUGAUUUUUUUUAUUCUUCUAAUUCAGUAAUUCUUAUUUUUUUCUUUUAUCAUGUCGAUGGUAGACGCAAAUCUAAACUGUAACUCUGUAAAUCAUAAGCAACUCCAAACAUGUAAUAUGAACAAAACGAUGAUAGAUUCUCCUAAUAAUAGUUCCAUGUCGCAGAACUUAUAGGAUCAAAUACAGUUCGUACCCAACUAUCUGGUAAUUGACACCAGCAAUCAUUUACAUGAAAACGCUUCAACAACAUCUGCCAUGUUCAUGCAAGCUAGUACGUACGAACUUGGAUCCAAGCUCAACUGUACUACUAUUACAGUUGCAGAUAUAUAGAUCCAUAUGUUCUAUACAUGUUAGAGAUCGGAUAUAUGAACUGGUUGGUUUCCAUUAAAAGUAGAGGCACCAUGUUCUACCCGCAGCCUUCCUUGAACCUUUCUGCUGAGUUUG